GACUCUUCUGCAAUCCAAGCCAGACAGCCAUCGUCACAGAACAAAGCAGGUGGCUAGCAAGUGAAGUAGUUUACUCUGCCCUCCUCCAACAAGUAUGCGUGUGUAUUUAAAUAACUAAAUGGCCAAUCAUUGCUAGUAUCUCAGGGAUGAAGAUAUUGAGCUUUAAUCACACAUUACUCAGCAAAGCAAGGAAGAGUAUUUGACUAAUUACACUGUUAGAGCUCCCUCCACUUCCCAAAGGAAGAAAAGCAAAGCACAUUUAGAUUUGUGUUAUAAACAACCAACCACAAGAUUACAGCACUGGGGUGCACUGGACAGCUACAAGGACCAGUUAUCAGUGUAGUAUUCAUAAUAUAGGAAGCAAACUGGCCAGUGAGAAGUCAUCACUAUAUACCCAGCAAGAGGAUUUCGGUUCACGCUCAAAACGAAACUUUUCCACACACGUAAGAACGCCAAAGCAGUAACUCCAGCCAGAUAUGGCGCAGGUUAACCUCCCCACCAUGCACAGCUCAUUGUUAAGGCAGAUUCAUCCUCUCAACUAGUCUAUUCUAGUCUGGAUGUUCAACUCUCACCACAGAACGCCAAUUGAGUUGAAGUGUGUCCUUGUUUGGUAGAGGAGACAAAAAGAUAGUGACACACAAAACUUCAUUUGUACACAGGUGGCCUGAACAGCAUUAGAACCCAGGACCACAGGUGGGGGUUGACUCAUCCCAUUUGAUUUACUCAACCACCCCACCUCAGCUAUCAAUUAAUUUUUAGAUGAAAAAAGCAAAAAAAAGUUGUGACAACAUGGCCCUUUUAUCCCACCAGCUAAUUAGCGACUCCCAGGUUUACACUGAUAAAAGCUGAACUCAGUCAUAAAAGGAUAAGUCCACCAGGACUCCUCCAAAAAACAUUAAGACCUUCAGUAGUAGUUUGCCCUUCUACAGAACCUAAGAGUCAUCACUGGAAUUGCACCAGUUUGAAUGAAAAGGCCAAUCUGUACAUAUGAUUAAUCUUUUCACUCACCACAUUCAGGCACAGGCAGGGGGCAGAGAAGCUUUGCUUUAAAAAAAAAAAAAAAUCUUAGUGCAGAACAAAUGGAAAGGUUGGCAUUUGUCCAUUCCCACUUUUAAAGUCACAAUUACAAAGUUGCUCUCCUGUACAGACCAAGUUCAGUCCUCUUUACACCCGAAGGAAAUAUUCAUCCCAAACUUGUAACAAGAAAACUAGAAUUAACAGAGAAGUGCAAGUUCAACUCUAAUGUUGCUAGUGUGAUGUUGAACUCCACUGAAGGAUCCACAUACAUCCAUGAACACACAGCUCAGCAGCAAUGCAGGAGAGAGCUACAAUGCUGCUGGCCUUUCAAACGAGAAAUGUAGGCUGGUGGAUAUAAAAUGCGAGUACUCCAGGGAGCCAGUAGUACGGUUCUAAUGAGCACAUCCACCUACAUAAGCUUGCAAUUGGCAGUAAGGAAGUCAAGUAGCCUAUCUGCAAAUGUGGCUUUGGUCGCACAUUUCUUAGCAGGUUAGUGGUACUAAACAGUGCUCCAAACCAGAUCAAUCUUUAGAGGAGAUCCAUGACUAAAUUCUCCACUACAAGGAGGACAAGCAUUCAUCUGUGAACCAGCUGAGUGGAGAUCGCUCACUGUGCAUUCAAUAUGGUAUGAAGGAUAGUCUGCUUGAGUAAACAAACGAUGCAGUAUCCUUUAUAGGGCAUGUUUAUCAACCUAAUCCUCACACACACACACCCCAACCCAAAUACACCUGGCCCCCUAAAAACAAAAAUCACACACUUUUUAUACAUUGGAAGUUAUAACACACAAAAGUUACAGAGGACAAUCACCAAGAAUCCUUCCAGUCAAAGCCAUAGUGUAGCAUAACUUCCCUGCUGCCAGAUGCCAGUCAAUAAAUCAGGGAAAGAAAAGGCCAUUAUAUAAUCAGUAUAGUUGCAAAACUAAAAAGAAAAAAGCAUAACAUUUGAACAGAAAAAUAAAGUCACAUUAGUGGUAUACUAAUGCUAGAUGGUAAAUGGCAGCUUUGCUUAUGACCGAGGCCCAUUUGUAUGACCUGUCCACGAUAAGCAGAAGUUGACGAUGUAUAGUCAGAUCUAUUUUCAAAAGGUAUAUUCUGAAAUGAGCUCCUCCAAAGUAAUCCUAGCUACUGCAGAAGCAGAUUUAGGAUUUUUCCAGCAAGCCCCCAAAGUUCUGCCUCAACACAGGAAACAGCCCAAGUGUUAACAACUGAAUUACUGUAUAAGGCACAAGAGUCACAAUGCCUAGAGAAAGACACCAGCCACCAAGAAUCCAGGAGCUUCUGAACCCUGUAGCCCCCAAGAAAAGCGAACAAAAAGCAACACUUCGAUUUAGUAGGUUUAAACCACCCCCCAAGCGACAAACUGUACACAAGAGAUUUGUCUGAACAAUGCAAAUAGCAUACAGAUUGGUACAUAGGCCCUCAUCCUCUCGGGAGCUCCAGACCAUAACAGUGUUCAAAGAAUUACAAGCCACUCUGCAUGGUCAACCAGAACCACGCUCAGCACCUGGUUCUGAACACGCUUUCAGCUUGUAUGGUUUGGUACUUAAGGCCCAAUCUACACUACAGCCACAAGUGUUAGAGGACCAGCGGUUGUCAGUGAACCUGGCUACAACACAGUUCCAUUUUAGUAGUACUGGUGAAUCUUCACCCUGCCCUCUCAGACUACAUUUACCCUGCAAUUAGACACCCAAGGCUGGCCCAUGCCAGCUGAUCAGGCUUGUGGGGCUCAGGCUAAGGGGCUGUUUAACUGUGGUGUAGAUGUUUGAGCUACAGCCUGAGCUCUAAGAACCUCCUACCUCACAGGGUCCUACAGCCUGGGCUCCAGCACAAUUAAACAGCCUCUUCGACUAAGCCAGCUGUGAGUUUUUCAUUGCCGCGUAGACAUCCUCUACCUAUCCUAAAGCCUCAUGCCCUGUCCAGGCUGGGAAAAUAGGUCAGAGUCUAGCCAAAGCUUUAAACAGACAGGGGAGCUGGUCGAUUCUUCCUCACAAACACACCCUGUCCAGCAAGGUUUUCACAAUGUUUCUGAUCACCAUUGUAGCUUGGUUUCUAACUGAGUACGGAUUCAGUGCUCUUAUGGCUAACGGCAUUCAAAAACAUUCUCAGACUCUAAGCACCAACAGUGGCCCUUACCAGCCUGCCAGUUUUACUCAAAACAGAUCAUCCUCCCUCAGCAUCAUUUGCAAUAUUCCUUUGUAUGUCCCUGUGUUUGCUCAAGGAAAUGUCUUGAACACUGAACAAUGGACACAGAUAAAAGAAAGCAACCGGCAAGUCUGAAGAGCCAGCCACUGAUACAAAUAAAUAGGGCCUUCGCAGAGCAGAUAGGACUACUUAUGACCACUGGAAUGGAACAUGUGCCAAAGUUUAUUUAAAAAACAAACAAACAAACAAACAACUUCCCUUUCAAACUUCUAUACUUCAAAAGUUGAUUAGGAGCCAGGGGAGGGGAAGAGAAUAAAAUCCCUUCGAACACUCCUCUGAAGUCAACAUUUGAUAUCUGGAGUUAGUUUAAGACAUCUUUGGUUUUGCCUUGUCAGUCACUAAUCUUGUGAUAACACCCACUACAUCCAGUCUUUGUUUAAAUAAAAGGCGAUGGUUGCUAUUGAAAUAACUGAGAUUUACCUAUCACAUCCAAUUGCUCUGAGAGAUUACUAAAUAGAGACAGCACAAACUUCAAUGCUAUCCAGUACAGGAGCAACCUGCCUUGCAGGGGAGAGCAGAUGCUUGCUAGGCUAUUCCUAGGAUUCAGCGUCCUCUACACUUCUCACUGAAAUAAAGAGGGAAAUAUGUUCCUGCAGCUCCAAUUUCUGCUAAAAGUCACACUAUUCACUCCAAAAAUUCUCUUCUGAUCUUUUUGACAAGCUUCUAAAAAGUUUUAUAAAAAUUUUGUACAAUAUACCUCAAUACUAGAAACAAUAAAAACACCACUAUGCAGACAUAUACAAAAUACCCGUUAAGGGUAACUAAAUCCCAGUCACUUUGUAACAGGAUAAUCAGAAAGUAUUAGAGGAGCUACAUAUUAUACAAACUGAACACUGUUGGAGAAGUUCUGGAUCUCUGUUUAAUGUACGAUUUGCCUAAGACACCAGACAAUCAAUUGGGUGGAAGGUUUUCACAUGCAACACAAACCCAAUAUACAUGUAUUAAACAGCAGUGGAAACAUUUUGAAUGUGUGGCAGCUUGAGGGUGGCAUUUUCAAGCCAUUAGCAGCAUGGAAACUGGAUGGUGAGGGAGGAGGCUUUCAGUUCAGAUUGGAGAACUCUGACCAGCUGAGCAAGACUACCAAAACUUUCAGUAAAAUGCAAUGAUACCUGUUUGAGAGCAUCAGAAAUCCAUGCUGCUUGUGUACAGCUAACAUCAAAAGCAAAAUCCAAUAGUUUGACUGAAAGGACACUCAAGAAUUUCUCUUUAACUAAAGCUUUUUUUUUCCUCAUUGCUUCAGACUUGCUCUCAGGAAGCUAAAGGCAACUAUUUUUUUCCCCUAAGAGUGUGAAUUGCAGAGAUUUUUGGUAAAUUAAACAAAAAAAAAUUUAUUUGUAAGAUUUCAAAGGCUCCGCUACCAGGAAGGUCCCAUUUAUUGUAAAAGGAACAAAGAUGGGGGUAUAGAAAGGGACGGUACUGCCAAAUCUUUAAUGGUACUACACUUGCUGUAGCAGAGAGGUCAGCACAGCUCCAAAUUCUCUAUUAGCAAGGAAUUAAACAGCACUUGAUAAACGAGGCUAGAACUCUCAAACGUAGCUAAAAACACAGCAUUGGUUAAACUUUUGUCAUCAGCACUACGCCCAUUUCCUCCUUUGGUAUCUUACAAACCUUUCAACAUGUCCUUGAAGCUAACAUAGCAUUUUCCGUUUACUUUUUGUAUUUCACACGACAGCAUUUUUUUGGCAGCACAGCUCUGGGUAAAGAAGUUCUGUUAAGUUACAAUUGCCAGUAGAACAAAAUUGUAAAACCAUAUUUUUGUCCUCACCAACACAGCUGGUGUUUGAACCUGAUAAUCUGGAGGGGAACUGCCACAGCAAAACAGCUAUUUUAAGGGCAGGUACAAUUUUAGGUUUAAAUAACAAUGAUCUUCACUGAAAAAGUGAGAUGAAGAAUAGGCGCUAAGCUCUGAUUCUACUUGUACACACUUGAAAAAAAUGCAGCAAUAAGCGAGGCUAUGUCCUGCUUCUCACAAAGUCCUGCUCAUAAGAUAAAUUGUGCUGCUGAUGGCUUUCAUUCCCAUCAUGCUUUUAUUCUGAACAAGUUCUGUCCGCUGGCCUGAUCGGGACACAGUAGUGAAGGUGGCAGCAUGAGCCCUGUCUUCGCAAGUCUUUCAUCUGAGUUUAACCACCACAGUCAAACUCCCUGCAGAACUAGGCUUACCCAUGGUUUUCUAGAAAGAGGCUCACAUGGCUUCUGGACUCAGUUUGUUUAGAAUUUGCGGAUGAGCAGAGAUGCUAGGAAAAGAGCAAUAGAAGGCAACAAUCUAGAUAUCAAUCUAAAAACAGACUCAGCUUUUCAUAUUAAAAGCAGAAUGGACAGUCAAUAGUGAGAGAGAGAUACCUUCAACCAACUAUGCUGGUUUCCUUUGACGCCACUUAGACAUCUUGAGGGUUUUGUAUUUGGUGCCUACUGAAGAUAGCCAGCAAAGGGUUACAGAUGACAGGUAUUGAACUGUCAUUGUCCAAAUGAAAGAGGGUCUGUCUUUAAUAUAGACUGUAGAAGCUCAUUUUGUUCAGCUACUUUGCAUCCAGAAGUCCUGUACUCAGCUCCAGUCAUGCAAUAUACGAUUUUUCAGAAUCACUGGUUGGCUAUUUCCUUUCUCUCAAUCUAGAUGCCAAGCUGUACCCAAUUUGAUUCUCAAAUUUAACAAACAAGAUUAUAAGGUAGACCUACCAAUUCCAUUCCACCGGCUGCCAUUUUAAAGACACUGUUGAUCAAAUACUCAGUAGGAUAAAAGUAUCCUUUUUAUUCCAAUGGAGAAGUUGCACAUACCAGUCCAUUCAAGACCAAAAGGCUGUUAAAAUGUAAGAGCAACCAAAGCAACACACCUGUCACUUGAAUUCUCCAUGACCAUUGAUGCGUGUGAUAACAUACGCUGCUGAACAAAAAAACCACAACUGUUCUCUCAAGUUGACCACAUUUGAUAAGAUCAGCAUAACCUUAAUGACCCCCAGGAUUUCCUAGUACAGUGCUGAUUUUAGGAUCAACAUUUCAGAGCGGAUGAGCCCCCUCAUCCCCUCCUCCCCCCNCCCCCCC